UACGUAGGCAGCGAGCGUUGUUCGGAGUUACUGGGCGUAAAGGGUGUGUAGGCGGUUUUCUAAGUUUGGUGUGAAAUCUCCCGGCUCAACCGGGAGGGUGCGCCGAAAACUGGGAGACUAGAGUGCGGGAUGGGAGAGUAGAAUUCCUGGUGUAGCGGUGAAAUGCGUAGAUAUCAGGAGGAAUACCGGUGGUGUAGACGGCUUUCUGGACCGUAACUGACGCUGAGACACGAAAGCGUGGGUAGCAAACAGG
rnacentral:rRNA from 1 species